UAUAACUGUACAAAGGUAGCAUAAUCAUUUGUCUUUUAAUUGAAGGCUUGUAUGAAUGGUUGGACGAGGAAUUAACUUUCUUUACUUAAAUUUUAUGAAUUUAAUUUUUUAGUUAAAAAGCUUAAAUGUUUUUGCAAGACGAGAAGACCCUAUAGAAUUUUAUUUAAUUAUAUAUAUUUAAUCUUUGGGUUUUAAAUAUUUAAUUUAUAUAAUUAAAUUUUGUUGGGGUGACAGUGAGAUUAAAUCAACUCUCA
rnacentral:rRNA from 1 species